UACGGAGGGUGCGAGCGUUGUCCGGAAUCACUGGGCGUAAAGGGCGCGUAGGCGGCCUGAUAAGUAGGGGGUGAAAUCUUGCGGCUUAACCGCAAGGCUGCCUUCUAAACUGUCGGGCUAGAGCACAGUAGAGGCAGGCGGAAUUCCGGGUGUAGCGGUGGAAUGCGUAGAGAUCCGGAAGAACACCGGUGGCGAAGGCGGCCUGCUGGGCAGUUGCUGACACUGAGGCGCGACAGCGUGGGGAGCAAACAGG
rnacentral:rRNA from 1 species